rnacentral:rRNA from 1 species
AGCAGCCGCGGUAAUUCCAGCUCCAAUAGCGUAUAUUAAAGUUGUUGCAGUUAAAAAGCUCGUAGUUGAAUUUCGGGGUUAGUAGGUUGGUCAUGCCUCUGGUAUGUACUGGUCUCACUGAUUCCUCCUUCCUGAUGAGCCGUAAUGCCAUUAAUUUGGUGUUGCGGGGAAUUUGGACUGUUACUUUGAAAAAUUAGAGUGUUUAAAGCAAGCUAACGCUUGAAUACAUUAGCAUGGAAUAAUGAAAUGGGACGUUCGAUCCUAUUUUGUUGGUUUCUAGGAUUGACGUAAUGAUUAAUAGGGAUAGUUGGGGGCAUUAGUAUUCAAUUGUCAGAGGUGAAAUUCUUGGAUUUAUUGAAGACUAACUACUGCGAAAGCAUUUGCCAAGGAUGUUUUCAUUAAUCAAGAACGAAAGUUAGGGGAUCGAAGACGAUCAGAUACCGUCGUAGU